rnacentral:misc_RNA from 1 species
AGGCCUUCUCUCGUUUGACCAUCCCAUUGCACCCAUUGGAAAUGUUGCCUUUGCUGAGCUGCUCGGUCAUAAUAUUGUCAUCGUUUGACACUUGAUGGGUCUCGGUGCCAGAAAAGCUGCAGUUUCUACUGCGGCUGAUGCUGUUGCUAUGAACAAGAUCAUUGGCAAAGCUAAUUUUCUGCUCCUCUUCAGAUCCAUUGCAUGAUAACGGUGCCUUUCCCCUGGAGAUGGCAGUAGCUAAAUCGAUGGGCAUGAGGCAGAAGCCUUUGCUUUGAAGAUAUUGAAUGGCAGUAGUCAAAUUGGAUUCCAUGAGCUUAAGCACUUCUUGCUCAAAGGCAACUUGGUCUGGAGAUGGAGAAAUAUCAAUUCCCAAACCAGCUGAUGGUGCGAGUGACAGACUGUUAGAACCCUCAACUUGAACAUCUGUGAUGAGAGGAAUGAUUGCUCCUGCUGCUCCUACUCUGCUCAUGCUAAGUACCUUGACUUGGAGCUGAAGAAAUUUGACAUACUCUAUGAUCUCGUCAAGCAUAGAUGCCUUAUCAAUCUUGCUAGAAUUAGGAACAAGUUCUUGCAGAUUCUUCAUCCUUUCAGCAAUUUUUUCCCUCCGAAGCCUUUCAGCUAUACUGUGUGGAUCAGUAGCCUGGCCACGGCGUGCCCUUACACGAGGCUUUACAGUUCUGUCACAAGCAGGAGCAGCUGAUGUAGUCUGUGAAAGAAAUAAUGCUUCAUUUGUCGCCAUUGUUAUAUUUGGCCCAGCUGUGAAAGAAGAGAAUGGAUAACUUUGCAAAUCUUCCUUAUCCUUUGUGGUGACUGUAGUAGACAACUUAUCAAGUUGCAGAAUUUGAUCCAUGCUAACAUGCCUCUUCCUCAUAAAGUCACUUUUGUCAUCCAAAUUUCCUUCUUGAAUACCAAAUUGCUGCACCAUGUCUUGUCCCAUCAGAGCAGAUAUAGAAGAAACAUCCUCAUGUGAUGCUGAAGGCCACACUUUUGCCAUUGAUAGAUUAUGC